AGAGAUUUAGCUUAAUGGUUAAGCGCUUGACUGUUAAUCAAGCUUGAUUAUUAAUGGUAAUCAUUAUCUAGGUUCGAAUCCUAUAAUCUCUA